CGCACGGGUGAGUAACACGUAUGCAAUCCACCUGUAACGAGGGGGAUAACCCGGAGAAAUCCGGACUAAUACCCCAUAAUAUGGGCGCUCCGCAUGGAGAGCCCAUUAAAGAGAGCAAUUUUGGUUACAGACGAGCAUGCGCUCCAUUAGCCAGUUGGCGGGGUAACGGCCCACCAAAGCGACGAUGGAUAGGGGUUCUGAGAGGAAGGUCCCCCACAUUGGAACUGAGACACGGUCCAA
rnacentral:rRNA from 1 species